GGAUUAGAAACCCCGGUAGUCCUGGCCGUAAACGAUGGGCACUGGGUAGGGGGCUCGCCGAUGGGCUCCCUGCCGUAGGGAAACCGUGAAGUGCCCCGCCUGGGGAGUGUGGUCGCAAGGCUGAAACUCAAAGGAAUUGACGGGGGCUCACACAAGCGGUGGAGCAUGUGGCUUAAUUCGAGGCUACGCGCAAAACCUUAUCCCGGGCUUGACAUGCACGGAUUAACCGGCGGAAAACGUCGGCCACGCCGCAAGGUGGAACGUGCACAGGUGCUGCAUGGCUGUCGUCAGCCCGUGUCGUGAGAUGUUGGGUUCAGUCCCGUAACGAGCGCAACCCCUGUGAUUAGUUGCCAACGCGUCAUGGCGGGGACUCUAAUCAGACCGCCGGCGUC
rnacentral:rRNA from 1 species